rnacentral:misc_RNA from 1 species
AAGCAAAAGGGGAAGCCGUGAGGCUUCCCCUUGAAGGGAUCGUGCUUUGUUCUUCUUCUGCUGACGGGCUUGUUGUUCUUGUUUGCAGCCCGGCCGGGCCUCAGGGCCCAUGGUUCCAAAUGGAACCGAGGAACAAACGGAUUAUUUUGGUCGCUGAUGCUGCCUGCCCUCGCGGGCCAACCGGUUCUGGUGCUGCCUUGCAUGGCAGUU